UAUGAUUUGGACAAUAGAGACUAUUAGUGU
rnacentral:piRNA from 1 species